rnacentral:rRNA from 1 species
UGAGUACGAGACGCUAAGGCGUUGAAGCAGUCUAUGUCAGACUUCCAAGAAAAGCUCGCAAUGUCAUAGACAAAAAAUGCCUGUACCAUAACCGACACAGGUGGGUAGGUAGAGUAUACUAAGGGGCGCGAGAUAACUCUCUCUAAGGAACUCGGCAAAAUGACUCCGUAACUUCGGGAGAAGGAGUGCCUUAUUUUUAUAAGGUUGCAAUAACAAGAUCCAAGCAACUGUUUACCAAAAACACAGGUCUCCGCUAAGUCGUAAGACGAUGUAUGGGGGCUGACGCCUGCCCAGUGCCAGAAGGUUAAAGAAGUUGGUUAGUUUCGGCGAAGCUGAUGACUGAAGCCCUGGUGAACGGCGGCCGUAACAAUAACGGUCCUAAGGUAGCGAAAUUCCUUGUCGGGUAAGUUCCGACCCGCACGAAAGGCGUAAUGAUUUGGAUACUGUCUCGGAGAGGGGCUCGGUGAAAUAGACUUGUCUGUGAAGAUGCGGACUACCUGCACCUGGACAGAAAGACCCUAUGAAGCUUUACUGUAACUUGAGAUUGAAAUUGGACUUUAUUUGCGCAGUAUAGGUGGGAGACGUUGAGAAUAUUCUUGCGGGAAUAUUGGAGUCAUCAGUGAGAUACCACUCUUGUAAUGUUAGAUUUCUAACUUUGUAUCAUUAUCUGGUCAAAGGACAGUUUCAGGCGGGCAGUUUGACUGGGGCGGUCGCCUCCCAAACGGUAACGGAGGCGCACAAAGGUUUCCUCUGAACGUGUAGAAAUCGUAUCUAGAGUGUAAAGGCAUAAGGAAGCUUGACUGUGAGACCUACAAGUCGAGCAGGGACGAAAGUCGGUCUUAGUGAUCUGACGGUGCUGAGUGGAAAGGCCGUCACUCAACGGAUAAAAGUUACUCUAGGAUAACAGGCUGAUCUCCCCCAAGAGUUCACAUCGACGGGGAGGUUUGGCACCUCGAUGUCGGCUCAUCGCAUCCUGGGGCGGUAGUACGUCCCAAGGGUUGGGCUGUUCGCCCAUGAAAGCGGUACGCGGGCUGGGUUCAGAACGUCGUGAGACAGUUCGGUCCAUAUCCGGUGUAGGCGUUAGAAUAUUGAGAGGAGCCUUCUUUAGUACGAGAGGACCGAGAAGGACAUACCUCUGGUGUACCAGUUAUCGUGCCAACGGUAAACGCUGGGUAGCUAUGUAUGGAGUGGAUAACCGCUGAAAGCAUCUAAGUGGGAAGCCCACCUCAAGAUAAG